rnacentral:lncRNA from 1 species
AAUACAAGAACUCAAGUGCAUGUGUAAUUAUUCUUAAACAUUCAGCUACAAUGUAGCUUUUCUUUUUCUUUCUUUCUCGUGGCUUGAAUUUGGCUAAAUGUGGCUCAAUAACCCAGGUAAGUCAAAAUCCCAGUGGACCUUUUCCGCCCGACAUUUGCAGUCCAUAAUACAUUGGAAAUCUAUUGUUUACAAAGAAAAAAGAAAGACAGAAAAGAAGUACUGCAAGCCAAAGUUGUCAAUUAUGUGAUUAAACAAAACCAGCAAAGUAUAAUUAAAGUUUGGCCUAAGUGAAUGAACAUGAAGCCCUACAAAUUUCAAAAAGACAUCGACACCCUUAUAUUAGGGAAAUGGGUCGGCUCCUCGUCAUGCAUACCUCACAGAUCAACUCAUUAAUUAAUCAGUCAAAAUAAAAAAAAAAAAAAAUCAGUGUAUGUAAUGGAAAUUUAUUAGUAUAAUACAAUGUGCUCUUUACAGCAUAUGGGCAUAAAUGAACUUUUCAAUAUUUUUAAUAUAUUUUGAAAGAGGAUUAUGAACUUAAUCAACAACUAAACAUUAGCACAUUGGAUUAAUAUAAUCUUAGCCACACGGUCGCAUCCAAGUAGUGGAUGAGCAAUUGUUGAGCUUGAUGCUAUGCGUUUUUUCCUUUUUUUUUUUUUUUUUUUUUGUUUUGUUUUGUUUUGUUUUUUUGAUUUGGUGCGAAUAAACAAGUGUUAGAAGCAAGUAUUAUUCUCUGUGUGUCACUUUCUAGAAGACGAUCGCACUUACCAUUUUUGCCCACUAACAUGGUGCUUGUGUCGUACAACCAAGAAGUAGAGGUUUAGGUUCCUAGUGGCCUUUUUUACAUGAGAGAUAUUAACAUAGUGGAAAGAGCACUCUCGCAUAUAUUGUGUUUUAAAGAUAUGUUAAUAUUAAGGGAAGAGUAACAAGUAUUUUUAAGAUGUGAGUAAAGAGGUUUUGAAUUCAAAUUUUAUGAAUGGAAGUUUGUUAAGAUAGUAAGAAUAAAAAAUGGAGAUGCAGAGGAAUACAUCUUUAUGUUUGGUUAUGUAAUAUGUAAAAUACUCGAUUGAAAAAGAUAGGUUUUGUGAUAUUUGAACAUUGAUAGUGGGGAAAGGCCUGAAAGGGUGGGCGUGGAGAUAAAAACAUGAGAAAGAUGGAGAGUGUAAAACCCUAGAAAAUGGAGAGGAGGAAAGCAUGCCGGGGUAUGACAAAGACCACACACUGUAUAUUCCUUCGAGAAAGAGACUGUGGGUCCUCUCUCUCUCUCUCUCUCUCUCUCUCCCCCCUCACUGCCCAGAGAGAGAGAUAGUUUGCACACGAGCAUUGCCACUAAGUGUAUGUAACGUAAAGACCACCCACUUUACUACUUUAGUUUUCUUUCCAAUUCAUUCAUUCAUUCUUUCCUCUGCGCCUAGACUGCUUAGACUACUUUGCCUCUCUCUCUCUCUCUGCUUUGCCUUUGAGUUUUAGCCCCACUCCACUGCUGUCUGUUCCUCCAAUUUGCCUUCCUUUGUAACUCCUUUCUAUAAGUUUUGUACUCUUUCCUCUCAGAGGCUCUUUCUCUC